GGUUGCGACCAUGUCACGUUGACAGCAUGCCAUACCGUCCGAUCUCGCAAGUUUGGCAACGUUGGGCAUGGUUAGUGUCUGGAUCGAAGACGGUUUGGAGAAUUCGGGUGCUGUGAGAC
rnacentral:rRNA from 1 species